GGAAGGAUCAUUAUUGAAAAACUGCUUCUAGUUUUUUACAUCCCAUUGUUUACCUACCCUGUUGCUUCCACUGGACAGGUUUCACCUUGUGUGAGCCCUGUAGCAUGUGUGUGAAUAACACCUGCUGCAGAGUUGCUAGUGGUAAGCCCAUUAUCAAAACUUGACAUGAAAAAUAAGUCUGAUUCUUCCUUGAAAUAAAAUAAAACUUUCAACAACGGAUCUCUAGGCUCUUGCAUCGAUGAAGAACGCAGUGAAAUGCGAUAAGUAAUGUGAAUUGCAGAAUCUCGUGAAUCAUCGAAUCUUUGAACGCACAUUGCGCCCUAUGGUAUUCCGUAGGGCAUGCCUGUCUGAGCGUCAGCUCCCCCCCACCUCAAGCAUCCUGUAGAGAAGCUUGGAUUACUUUGGAGAAGUGGUUUUUGUAGGCGCUGAAAGUUGCCCAAAAUGUCCACCCCCCAGAAAUACAUUGGCAGUAUGGCUUUCCAAACUGGACGUAAUAAGCAUAUAAAAGCGUCUCUGUUUAGUCAGUGUUGUGCUUGCCUUAACCCACCCAAUAUUUUUUCUGGGUGACCUCAGAUCAGGUAGGGAUACCCGCUGAACUUAAGCAUAUCAAUAAGCGGAGGAA
rnacentral:rRNA from 1 species